UUUGCAUUGUCCAGUUAUUCCCUAUGUUGACCCAUGACUUAAUUAGUCACAUUUUCAUUGUCUAGUUAUUCCCUAUGUUGGUCCAGUCCCUGCUGUGUGAAAAUGUCCAGUUACAAUAGUCCAGUAUGGAAACCCUGUGUACAAUGAUCACUGAUGCCCCAAACAUCAUUGUCAAACAUAUGGAUACAGUGAUUCAACAACUGCUAAAACUUUCAUCAUAUAUACAAACCAUCAAUGAAGAUAAGAUGUGCGGCUUUGAGGUGUUUACAUGAGUUGGUGUGUCUUCCCUCCCCUGUGAUCUUGCCAUACAGACCCACUGUGAUAAAAACCCUGGAGGGAGUCCUGGACGACAAGAAGAGACUUGUUAGACUAGAGGCUGUAAAGGCCAGGAAUGAAUGGUGUUUGUUGGGACAACCUGGAAGCACUACUUGAUGUGUGAUUAUAGAAAUGAUGUGUAAAUAAAUGUAUUUAUAAUGAUA